UUUUGACGCACAGGCUCAGCGGCCAUGGCUCACGGGCCCAGCCACUCCGCGGCAUGUGGGAUCUUCCCGGACCGGGGCACGAACCCGUAUCCCCUGCAUCGGCAGGCGGACUCUCAACCACUGUGCCACCAGGGAAGCCCCUGCAGGCUAAAGUUUGAGAGCCACCACUCUAUGCUGAUCUAGAUAAAGAAAAUGAAGAUCAGGGCGGCUUAAGUCACUCGACCGGGAUCGUGCAGCCAGCAAGUUGGGUGCCAGGACUCAAAGCAGGUCUUUCAUGAGAAGAACUCUUGUUUUUUUUCUUUUGUCUCUUCCACUCCCUCCCUCUCUGUCCUCACCCCUCCAUCCUCUAUCCCGGAGGUUCUCAACUUGGCCGUAUAUUGACAUCACCUGGGGAGCUUUAAAAAAUAAUAUUGCUGUUAGGCCUCCACCCUGGGAAACUGAUCUCCGGGGUGUGACGCCAGCAUCUGUACUUUUUAUUCCCUCUUCACAGGCAGCCUUACCCAGAUUCCUUUGCGAUUCCAAAUGUUUCUGAUGCAUGCAUUUGCACUGAGGUGUUAGUAACUGGAUGUGUUACCUUUCUCAGGGUGUCUGCAUUUGAAAAAAGAGCCGAGGACAUAAAAUAAUGAAUUGCAUAAGCAUCUUAGCGAGUGGGAGAGACCAGCUUUUGAUCUCCUUUCUCACACUUGCAGCAGAUUUAUUGCCCUCACACGUCCUGCUAGGAAUCUACCCAGCAGUCUUCGCUGAGAAUUCUGAAUAUGCUGUGGCUUUUCGAGGGGCUUUUUGGGCUAGAAGAACUUGAAUGAAUCAUUUUUGAAUGCCCAUAAGCCAUCAGCCUUGCCCACAGAGGGCAGUCGGUUCAAUUCUAACUAGCAAGCAAAACCAAAAUUAUUCGCCCAAAAUGUUCUUGCUGUUGUUGUUGUUGUUUUUUAACCAUUCCGUGAUGAAUCUUCCCCUGUCGGACCUUUCCCAGCGCCCAUCCAGACAUACUCAGCCACAGAAAUCGAGGUGGUAUGUAUCUAAACCAUAAGUUAGAGUCAUUUCCCAGAUCCCAAUUCAAUCAAAUUUCAGGAGCCCCUUCCCGUGGCUAAUUUUAGGACAUGACAAAUUUUGACGUUAACGCCCCCUUUUCAUUUUUUUAAUUGUGUAAACCUUUUUUUAUUGAAGUAUACUUGAUGUAUAAUAUUACAUUGUCGUAAACCUUUGAUUUUUAAAAAGGAAGAAAAAUAAAAGCCACCCUAAAAUGAUUUUUUUUUUUUUGACUGGCAUCUACGUCUCUACCCUGCUUCCUGCACCUGGUGGGGGACACAGCGCUUCUCCGCCCUUCAGGAAACGGCCCACUUGUCAGCAGCUGGGCUCCCAGGAACAAAGGCCUAGGUUCAUUACCACAGUAUCGACCCUGACACGUUGCACUCGGGCCACCUCCCCCAGAGUUCCUCAAUUCACACCCCAAAUGAAGCGUAAUUGGACCUGGACAUCUUUGAAGUCCCCCGAGCAGCUCGCCAGCAUUUUGAAAUGUCCUCGAUUUGCAUGGUGAAAACCUGGUUGGAGGUGACUUUUUCUUUCCCCUCAUCCCACGGUUUUAAAGACAGAAUGAUUUAAAAUGACAUUCCCCAGCUAGGGAAGAGUUACCAUGGAAGAAAUAAAAAUUCUCAAAGCCCAGAAAAGAAAAGGCCAAAUAAGUCCGAGGAUCUGAUGAAUCUCUCAUCUGCUCCUUUGCUCGGUUUUUGUUCUGCGAGGGCCACAUACCAGGCCGUGGUUUCCUCUCAAACUUCUCCCCACGUCCCCGACCUGGGGGGACGACAAGGAUCCAGGAAACUUGGCUAGGAGGUUCUGCAGGCCAGCGGGUUGCUAUCAGACCUGAAGCAAGAGCAGGAGCCCUGCCACAGGCCGGUCCCUUAAUGGCCGUUUGUAUUGGAGGAAGUUCAUAAGGAUUUGCAGAGGUCCUCCAGGGCCUCUGUGAGGGUGAAGAAACGAGUUCUGCCAACCACGGGUUCUCAAGGAACAUUUGUCUGCUGUGGAAUUAAUCAGAAGUCGCGCCCUCCCUCCCUCUGACAGCUGCAGGGGGAGAGGGUGGAGGAAUUAUCCAGGGAAUGCGAGGGCAAUGGGGGCCACGUGAUAAGAAGGAGAGUUCUCCCUUGUCCCUUUCCAACGCCCCCGCAGAUGUGGCCGAGGAGCCCGGCCCUGCAAGGCCAUGGUGGAGGAAGGAGGCUGUGUAGUAAUGUGGUUAGGGCUCGGCAAACCCGGCUCCAAAAGCCAGCGCUGUUAUGUCACUGGUGUGCGCCUCAGUUUCCUCUGUAGUAAAAUGGGAAUGACUUCCGGGCUGCUUGUGGGGAUUAAGGGAGGUCAGGCGAAUAACGGCCCAGGCACACCAUGGGUUUAGGAGAUGCCGGUUCCUGGGAUUUAUGCAGACCUGUGGCCCUAUGCCCUGUGGGAGUGGAGCCCUAAGCGUAAAUCGUUAACUCCUCAAAGGUAUGUUUGCUGUGCCCUGGGAUUUUCAAAGGGCAGGCUCUCCCAACAGCUCCAGAACCUUGCUACUCAAAAGGCCCGCGGACCGGCAGCAGCCUCACCUGAGAGGCUGUAAGGACGCCCUCAGAUGCUCCCCAGGCCUGUCGAAUCAGAAUUUCUAUAUUAAGAUUCCCUCAGUUUCAAAAUCACAUUUGGAGAAGUGGACCCUCUGUGCAUAAGAACAGCCACUGAGAGAAACAACAACAAAGAUGAACGGGUUGAAAAAGGCAAGUUCUUCCAUUGCCCUCCACGUUUGUCUCUCAUCUCAGGAUUCUGAUCGUCCCCACUGGCCUUUUCCGUGAUGGCUAGAGUUGUAAAAUGGGCCCCAGAGCAGGAUACAUGGCCAUUCGGGGAGGAUUUUUCCCUGGAACUCUCCUGGGUUCUCCUGGACCAGUCCUAGAGGAAGCAAGUGGGUAGAAGCUUACCAAGUCAGCCCUGGAAGGGACCUUGGAGGGCACCUAGUCCAGCCAAGCCAGCUGAAAGGCAGGGUUACCUAGUGGUUGAGCGCACACGUUUGAAGCCAGACAGCCCCAGUUUGAACCAGUUCUCCACCACUUCCUAGCUGUGUGACCUUGGACAAGUUUACUAACCUCCGCCUCAGUUUCCUCAUCUGUCACAUAGUAAUCAUCCUACCUACCUCAGACAGUUGUAGCGGUGACAAAGUGAAUUAACACAUAAAGCAUGAGGAAUAGCACAAAGUGUACAGUAAGCGUUUGAUAAGAGAAAGAAAUGAGGCUCAGAGGAGAAGCAGCCUCCCCGAGGUCACUCAGGGAUUUGCCAAACUGAGCUGGACUCGGUGAAAAAGAGGAGAGGUUACAGCCUCUUGGAA